UCUUCUGGUGUCCAUGGUCCUUUUUUCAUCCCCACUUUGUCACAGCAAGGUGAUCUCCCCAUUGGGUGUAUGCAAUAUAGUGAAAUUAAAUGAGCAAACAAAGAAGAUAAAGGUAUAUAAGAGAAUAUAAACUAUGGAAAAGUAGAACAUUCAGCCCCACCCUCUUUCUUCCUCACUUACCCAAAGAUGCAGAAAAAUUGCUUAAGCAACGUCAAAUCAAUAAUUCAAUCCUACAGUAAAGUGUUUCUUUGUGAAACAAGUUAACGAUAAGCAAUACCAAUGCAUUAGCCAUUAGGGUUUAUAUAU